rnacentral:rRNA from 1 species
CAAUAGCGUAUAUUAAAGUUGUUGCAGUUAAAAAGCUCGUAGUUGGAUUUCUGGUGGGAGCGAUCGGUCUGGCGCUUAGCGCGAGUACUUGCAUCGUCUCCGGCCAUCCUUGGGGAGAGUCUGUCUGGCAUUAAGUUGUCGGGCAGAGGAUCCUCAUCGUUUACUGUGAAAAAAUUAGAGUGUUCAAAGCAGGCUUAUGCCGGUGAAUAUAUUAGCAUGGAAUAAUAAGAUAGGACUUUGGUACUAUUUUGUUGGUUUGCGCACCAAAGUAAUGAUUAAUAGGGACAGUUGGGGGUAUUCGUAUUCCGUUGUCAGAGGUGAAAUUCUUGGAUUUACGGAAGACGAACUACUGCGAAAGCAUUUACCAAGGAUGUUUUCAUUAA